rnacentral:rRNA from 1 species
GGCCGCGAAUUCACUAGUGAUUACUCCUACGGGAGGCAGCAGUGGGGAAUAUUGGACAAUGGGCGCAAGCCUGAUCCAGCCAUGCCGCGUGGGUGAAGAAGGCCUUCGGGUUGUAAAGCCCUUUUGUUGGGAAAGAAAAGCAGUCGGUUAAUACCCGAUUGUUCUGACGGUACCCAAAGAAUAAGCACCGGCUAACUUCGUGCCAGCAGCCGCGGUAAUACGAAGGGUGCAAGCGUUACUCGGAAUUACUGGGCGUAAAGCGUGCGUAGGUGGUUUGUUAAGUCUGAUGUGAAAGCCCUGGGCUCAACCUGGGAAUUGCAUUGGAUACUGGCAGGCUAGAGUGCGGUAGAGGGUAGUGGAAUCCCCGGUGUAGCAGUGAAAUGCGUAGAGAUCGGGAGGAACAUCCGUGGCGAAGGCGACUACCUGGACCAGCACUGACACUGAGGCACGAAAGCGUGGGGAGCAAACAGGAUUAGAUACCCUGGUAGUCCACGCCCUAAACGAUGCGAACUGGAUGUUGGGUUCAAUUAGGAACUCAGUAUCGAAGCUAACGCGUUAAGUUCGCCGCCUGGGGAGUACGGUCGCAAGACUGAAACUCAAAGGAAUUGACGGGGGCCCGCACAAGCGGUGAGCAUGUGA